rnacentral:tRNA from 1 species
GCAACUGUGGUGAAACGGUUAACACUGAGGUCUGCAAAACCUCCAUCUGUCGGUUCGAAUCCGACCAGUUGCU